GAUGAACGCUGGCGGCGUGCCUAAUACAUGCAAGUCGAGCGAACAGACGAGGAGCUUGCUCCUCUGACGUUAGCGGCGGACGGGUGAGUAACACGUGGAUAACCUACCUAUAAGACUGGGAUAACUUCGGGAAACCGGCGCUAAUACCGGAUAAUAUAUUGAACCGCAUGGUUUAAUAGUGAAAGACGGUUUUGCUGUCACUUAUAGAUGGAUCCGCGCGGCAUUAGCUAGUUGGUAAGGUCACGGCUUACCAAGGCAACGAUGCGUAGCCGACCUGAGAGGGUGAUCGGCCACACUGGAACUGAGGGACGGUCCAGACUCCUACAGUAGGCAGCGGGAGGGAAGCUUCCGCAAAGGGCGAAAGCCUGACGGAGCAACGCCGCGUGAGUGAUGAAGGUCUUCGGAUCGUAAAACUCUGUUAUUAGGGAAGAACAAAUGUGUAAGUAACUAUGCACGUCUUGACGGUACCUAAUCAGAAAGCCACGGCUAACUACGUG
rnacentral:rRNA from 1 species